rnacentral:rRNA from 1 species
UACAGAGGGGGCAAGCGUUGUUCGGAAUUACUGGGCGUAAAGGGCGCGUAGGCGGCCUUCUAAGUCGAACGUGAAACCCCCAGGCUCAACCUGGGGACGCCACCCGAUACUGCUGUGGCUAGAGUCCAGUAGGGGAGUGUGGAAUUCCUGGUGUAGCGGUGGAAUGCGCAGAUAUCAGGAGGAACACCGGUGGCGAAGGCGGGUCUCUGGGCCGAUACUGACACUGAGGAGCGAAAGCGUGGGGAGCGAACAGG